rnacentral:rRNA from 1 species
CAAGGUUUCCGUAGGUGAACCUGCGGAAGGAUCAUUAAUGAAUUGAAAGGGAGUUGAUGCUGGCCAGGUCUCUGGCAUGUGCUCGCUUCCGACAAUCUUAUCCAUACACCUGUGCACACUGUGAGGGCAUGCAAGUGCCCUUAUUUACUACAUACACCUAAUAUGGAAAUCGCACGUGACUUGCGUCGUAUGGCGCUUAAAACUAAAAACAACUUUUAACAACGGAUCUCUUGGCUCUCGCAUCGAUGAAGAACGCAGCGAAAUGCGAUAAGUAAUGUGAAUUGCAGAAUUCAGUGAAUCAUCGAAUCUUUGAACGCACCUUGCGCUCCUUGGUAUUCCGAGGAGCACGCCUGUUCGAGUGUCGUGGAAACUCUCAAGCUAGAUGCUUUAGUGUCAUCUACUUGGUUAUUGGACUCUGCUGUCUCCUUGUCUGGAACGGCUGGUCUCAAAUGUAUUAGCUGGUCCUUGUUGUGGGAUUUGGUUCUACUCAGCGUGAUAAUCUAUGACCGCUGAGGACAUCUCUCGGGAUGGCCAAGCCUGCCUUGGGCUGCUUCUAACUCAUCAUCAUGAUAUUUUUCAACUUUGACCUCGAAUCAGGCGGGACUACCCGCUGAACUUAAGCAUAUCAAUAAGCGGAGGAAAAGAAACUAACAAGGAUUCCCCUAGUAACGGCGAGUGAAGCGGGAUGAGCUCAAAUUUAAAAUCUGGCAGUCUUCGAUUGUCCGAGUUGUAAUCUAGAGAAGCGUUUUCCGCGCUGGACUGUGUACAAGUUUCCUGGAUACGGAACAUCAUAGAGGGUGAGAAUCCCGUCCUUGACACAGACUCCCAGUGCUCUGCGAUGCGCUCUCGACGAGUCGAGUUGUUUGGGAUUGCAGCUCAAAAUGGGAGGUAAAUUCCUUCUAAAGCUAAAUAUUGGCGAGAGACCGAUAGCGAACAAGUACCGUGAGGGAAAGAUGAAAAGCACUUUGGAAAGAGAGUUAAACAGUACGUGAAAUUGUUAAAAGGGAAACGAUUGAAGUCAGUCGCGUCCGCUUGGACUCAGCCUUACCUCGGUAGGGUGCAUUUCCUUGUGGACGGGCCAGCGUCCAUGUUGUCCGUCGGAAAAGGUGCGUGGGAAUGUGGCUUCUUCGGGAGUGUUAUAGCCCAUGUUCGCAUACGGCGGGUGAUAUGGAGUGGUACAGCAUGCUUCGGCGGUGCUUGUGCUGGCAUAAUGGCUUUAAACGACCCGUCUUGAAACACGGACCAAGGAGUCUAACAUGUCUGCGAGUGUUUGGGUGGAAAACCCGAGCGCGCAAUGAAAGUGAUAGCUGGGAACCCCUUUACGGGAGGCACCGGCGCCCCGAGCUGACCUUCUGUGACGCAUCGGAGGUAGAGCAUAUAUGUUGGGACCCGAAAGAUGGUGAACUAUGCCUGAAUAGGGCGAAGCCAGAGGAAACUCUGGGGGGAGGCUCGUAGCGAUUCUGACGUGCAAAUCGAUCGUCAAAUUUGGGUAUAGGGGCGAAAGACUAAUCGAACCAUCUAGUAGCUGGUUCCUGCCGAAGUUUCCCUCAGGAUAGCAGAAACUCGUAUCAGUUUUAUGUGGUAAAGCGAAUGAUUAGAGACCUUGGGGAUGAAACAUCCUUAAUCUAUUCUCAAACUUUAAAUAUGUAAGCUCAGGAUG